rnacentral:rRNA from 1 species
GACGAACGCUGGCGGCGUGCUUAACACAUGCAAGUCGAACGGAAAGGCCCUGCUUUUGUGGGGUGCUCGAGUGGCGAACGGGUGAGUAACACGUGAGUAACCUGCCAUUGACUUUGGGAUAACUUCAGGAAAAUGGGGCUAAUACCGGAUAGGAGUUACUGCUGCAUGGUGGGGGUUGGAAAGUUUCGGCGGUUGGGGAUGGACUGGCGGCUUAUCGGCUUGUUGGUGGGGUGGUGGCUUAGCAAGGCCUUGAAGGGUGGCCGGCCUGAGAGGGUGACCGGCCACAUUGGGAUUGAGAUACGGCCCAGCCCCCUACGGGAGGCAGCGGUGGGGAAUAUUGUAUAAUGGGCGGAGGCAUGAUGCAGCAACGCCGCGUGGGGUAUGACGGCCUUCGGGUUGUAAACCGCUUUCGCCUGUGACGAAGCGUGAGUGACGGUAAUGGGUAAAGAAGCACCGGCUAACUACGUG